UACCGGCGAGUUGCAGCGGCAAAAGCUCAAAUUUGAAAUCUUGGUCCCUUCGGUGCCCGAGUUGUAAUUUGGAGAGGGCAACUUUGGGGCCGUUCCUUGUCUAUGUUCCUUGGAACAGGACGUCAUAAAGGGUGAAAAUCCCGUGUGGCGAGGAGUGCGGUUCUUUGUAAAGUGCCUUCGAAAAGUCGAGUUGUUUGGGAAUGCAGCUCUAAGUGGGUGGUAAAUUCCAUCUAAAGCUAAAUAUUGGCGAAAGACCGAUAGCGAACAAGUACAGUGAUGGAAAGAUGAAAAGAACUUUGAAAAGAGAGUGAAAAAGUACGUGAAAUUGUUGAAAGGGAAGGGCAUUUGAUCAGACAUGGUGUUUUGUGCCCUCUGCUCCUUGUGGGUAGGGGAAUCUCGCAUUUCACUGGGCCAGCAUCAGUUUUGGUGGCAGGAUAAAUCCAUAGGAAUGUAGCUUGCCUCGGUAAGUAUUAUAGCCUGUGGGAAUACUGCCAGCUGGGACUGAGGACUGCGACGUAAGUCAAGGAUGCUGGCAUAAUGGUUAUAUGCCGCCCGUCUUGAAACCGGGACCCAAA
rnacentral:rRNA from 1 species